rnacentral:lncRNA from 1 species
UGGUUUUAGCAUAGUUGAGUUUUAAUUGUGGCCAAGCUCAGUCAAUAAGUCACAAGUCCAGAAAAAAAGCUGUUCCUAUUAAAUCUCCCCAGGUCCUUUUACUAAGACGGAAAAACAAGGAAUCAAAGAGGGAGGGGUUGAGGGGGGGGGAAGGAAUUAAAGCCUAGGAAUGGUAGAUAAGCUAUCCCAAAACUUCAAAACUAACACUACGAUUCUAUUUUAAUCAGCUUUUGGCUGGUACCUACUGCUAUAUCACCUAGUAUGACAUUUCGGGAUUAUCGGGACAAUGAAGGAAACUGCACAGAGGGCAAAGAAGUUGUGCUGCUGUGAAAAUGAACUUUGUAAGUAGUGAAGAUGUUACCAGCCAAGAGAGGUCUCUUUCAUGGUAAGAUAUAACUGCACCAUGGUAAAGCUGGCAGAAUUCCAGUCUCUGGUUUUUCACAGUGACAAUGGCUGAGAGCAUAAGUGCACUGUCCACAGCUUGUUAAAAUACUUGAUUGACCUACUACAAACUCAACUUUAUCAAGGAUGAAAUAGUAGGGCUACCAGAUGCAAGGCUUCUUAGUGUCCAUCGUUAACAGUCUUUCCUGUUGAAGCUUCAAUAGACAAAGUCCUAGGCCAGUAAUAGAUACAUAUCCCUGCUCAGGUGUGAUUUCUCCUUCAAUCUGAUGUACUU